GAUGAACGCUGGCGGCGUGCCUAAUACAUGCAAGUCGAGCGGACGGACGAGAAGCUUGCUUCUCUGAUGUUAGCGGCGGACGGGUGAGUAACACGUGGAUACCCUCCCUAUCAGACUGGGAUAACUUCGGGAAACCGGAGCUAAUACCGGAUAAUAUUUUGAACCGCAUGGUUCAAAAGUGAAAGACGGUCUUGCUGUCACUUAUCGAUGCAUCCGCGCUGCAUUAGAUAGUUGGUAAGGUAACGGCUUACCAAGGCAACGAUGCAUAGCCGACCUGAGAGGGUGAUCGGCCACACUGGAACUGAGACACGGUCCAGAGUCCUACGGGAGGCAGCAGUAGGGAAUCUUCCGCAAUGGGCGAAAGCCUGACGGAGCAACGCCGCGUGAGUGAUGAAGGUCUUCGGAUCGUAAAACUCUGUUAUUAGGGAAGAACAUAUGUGUAAGUAACUGUGCACAUCGUGACGGUACUGAAUCAGAAAGCCACGGCUAACUACGUG
rnacentral:rRNA from 1 species